rnacentral:rRNA from 1 species
GAUGAACGCUGGCGGCGUGCCUAAUACAUGCAAGUCGAGCGAACAGACGAGGGGCUUGCUCCUUUGACGUUAGCGGCGGACGGGUGAGUAACACGUGGGUAACCUACCUAUAAGACUGGGAUAACUUCGGGAAACCGGAGCUAAUACCGGAUAAUAUUUCGAACCGCAUGGUUCGAUAGUGAAAGAUGGCUUUGCUAUCACUUAUAGAUGGACCUGCGCCGUAUUAGCUAGUUGGUAAGGUAACGGCUUACCAAGGCAACGAUACGUAGCCGACCUGAGAGGGUGAUCGGCCACACUGGAACUGAGACACGGUCCAGACUCCUACGGGAGGCAGCAGUAGGGAAUCUUCCGCAAUGGGCGAAAGCCUGACGGAGCAACGCCGCGUGAGUGAUGAAGGUCUUCGGAUCGUAAAACUCUGUUAUUAGGGAAGAACAAACGUGUAAGUAACUGUGCACGUCUUGACGGUACCUAAGCAGAAAGCCACGGCUAACUACGU